CGACAUUUCAGCUGAAAGCUAAGAGGUAAAGAAGAGCCAGUCUUGUGAAUUGCUGGGGGAAGAGACUCCAGGUUGAAGGAAAGGUCUGAGAUUCUCAAAACAUGGAACAAGGAAUAAUAGUGUUAUAUCAAGAAGCUUUAGAUGGUAAAUAGACAUGGCAUCAAACAGUGCUGAAACGUGAGAAGCUAGCUGCCAUGUUGUGAGAAGAGGCUCAAAUGGUGAGGAUCUGAGGCACCUGUCCAACAUCCAUUGAGGAACUGAAGCAUCCUGCCAGGUGCCAUGUGAGUGAGCUUGGAAGCAUUUCCUCCCACCCCGGCCAAGUCUUCGGAUGACUGCUGCCCCAGCCAACAUCUGGACCAUAAUCUCAUCAGAGACCCUGAGCCAGAA